UUUUUAAAAAAUAAAUAAAUAAUUUGCUUGAUCACAUAUUCAAUGAAAUUUAAUAUCAUGUCAUAAAACAUUAAAAAAAAAUCUCUUGAUUGUUGCAUAUAGUAUAAGGCAUCAGCAUAAAAUAUUCUAAGGGCUGAACCCAUUUAAAAAGAUAAGGUCGGAAUUUCAUCACUCGUCCUUAGCCCAAAAAUCACCCCAGUGCAUAAAUAUCCUAAGCUAAACUAAAAUCAAA
rnacentral:lncRNA from 1 species